rnacentral:rRNA from 1 species
GAGCAUGGCUCAGGACGAACGCUGGCGGCGUGCUUAACACAUGCAAGUCGAACGAGAAUCUAAUGACGGAGUUUUCGGACAACUGAUUUAGAGGACAGUGGCGGACUGGUGAGUAACGCGUGAGGAACCUGCCUUUCAGGGGGGACAACAGUUGGAAACGACUGCUAAUACCGCAUGAUGUGUAGCUGGACAUCCCGGAUACACCAAAGAUUUAUCGCUGAAAGAUGGCCCCGCGU